UGUGGCUCAGUGGUAGAGCGCGCACCUAGCAUGUGCGGGGCACUGGGUUCGAUCCUCAGCA
rnacentral:tRNA from 1 species